UUUUGGACAAUGGGCGCAAGCCUGAUCCAGCCAUGCCGCGUGCGGGAAGAAGGCCUUCGGGUUGUAAACCGCUUUUGUCAGGGAAGAAAAGGUUCUGGUUAAUACCAGGGCCACAUGACGGUACCAGAAGAAUAAGCACCUGCUAACUACGUGCCAGCAGCCGCGGUAAUACGUAGGGUGCAAGCGUUAAUCGGAAUUACUGGGCGUAAAGCGUGCGCAGGCGGUUAUGCAAGACAGAGGUGAAAUCCCCGGGCUCAACCUGGGAACUGCCUUUGUGACUGCAUAGCUAGAGUACGGUAGAGGGGGAUGGAAUUCCGCGUGUAGCAGUGAAAUGCGUAGAUAUGCGGAGGAACACCGAUGGCGAAGGCAAUCCCCUGGACCUGUACUGACGCUCAUGCACGAAAGCGUGGGGAGCAAACAG
rnacentral:rRNA from 1 species